UGCCAGAAUCUUCUCCUACUUACAGGGUUUGUCAAGAUUGAAGAACUGAAGUUCAGUUCAUUGGAGCUUGAAGAAGAACUGGUCAGAGACUCAGAGUUGGUUUAAGAAGAACUAAGAAGGGUUUGUCAAGAUUGAAGAACUGAAGUUCAGUUCAUUAGAGUUUGAAGAAGAA